AUUGAACGCUAGCGGGAUGCUUUACACAUGCAAGUCGAACGGCAGCGCGGACUUCGGUCUGGCGGCGAGUGGCGAACGGGUGAGUAAUGUAUCGGAACGUGCCCAGUAGCGGGGGAUAACUACGCGAAAGCGUAGCUAAUACCGCAUACGCCCUACGGGGGAAAGCAGGGGAUCGUAAGACCUUGCACUAUUGGAGCGGCCGAUAUCGGAUUAGCUAGUUGGUGAGGUAACGGCUCACCAAGGCGACGAUCCGUAGCUGGUUUGAGAGGACGACCAGCCACACUGGGACUGAGACACGGCCCAGACUCCUACGGGAGGCAGCAGUGGGGAAUUUUGGACAAUGGGGGCAAACCUGAUCCAGCCAUCCCGCGUGUGCGAUGAAGGCCUUCGGGUUGUAAAGCACGUUUGGCAGGAAAGAAACGUCGCGGGCUAAUACCCCGUGGAACUGACGGUACCUGCAGAAUAAGCACCGGCUAACUACGUG
rnacentral:rRNA from 1 species